UAAGUAUUUUUGUUUUCAGAAACAAUAUUGCUACCAGUCAAAGUAAUCAGAGGGAUCGUCACGUUGAUAAGGGUCAAUAUUAAGAUUCAUCAGGUAUGCUGAAACUGAUCUUGCGACUGAAAUGGGAAAAUUGGCUGACGGAUGGAAAAGGGUGAUAUCGAUUUACCACGAUUUACGUGGAAUUUUUAAAUCCAGCCGGCUCCUGGACCACGGCCAGAACUUUUACCUAAUGUCGCGCAAGAGCUUCACGGAAAUCUUAAAAGCUGUUGGACCUGGGAGGAGUUUGCAUGUAAACUACAGGCGGUUCAGUUUAAACAACGUGAAGACUCUGGGAGAUUUUAGAAGAAAUAUUGUGUGAGAAGAGAAAACUGAUGGAGGAAAUUUAAAAUGACUAGGAUAACCAGCCACAAUUUUGCUGUAAUACGACACUUUGCCAAAGUGGUGUCAGAUAGCUUGAAUCUGAAUUUGAAAAUCAGGUCUGUCAUUAAGGACGCGAAGCGGCUCGAUGACUGGGAGAAUGCUAAUUAAUCUUGGCCGGUCUCUAUAUAAUAAACACGACGCACCUACGCAACGGAUACCAAAAUAAAACGUCGAUGGGUCGUCGUCGCGACGCUCAGAUACGUCUUGGACGCUGAGAGCAAUCCCGUCGAUCGGCUUGGCGCUUGGACUCGGAUACAAAAUGAAAAGGAGGGAAAUGAAAGAAAAAUAAUUUUUUUAAAAUCGUUGCUGCCAGUUUGGAGUGAAAGUGCAGGGGGAGAGAGGAUCGAGCUUUUGGCUUGCACGGACGCUUAAUGCGAUCGAAGAAAAUUACAUAAAGCUUGGGUUACGAGCUCGAAGCUUGGCAAAGGUUUCAUCGUUAUGUCACAUUGCUCGUUCUGCGCAGGACUACGUGGGAACAUGAUGAAAAGACUGUAAUUUUUCGCGAUGACGUAUCCCGCGGCUAAACUUGAAAUUCCUAAUGACGCUUGAUCAAUCAACAAGCUCUGGCUUCAGUACAAAUAAGAGUAUGGGACAUAAGAGAAGCUUUGCAAAGUUAAACAGACAUUUUGUGUCGGUCAAAACAAUUGUCUGCUGAUAACAACGAUAAUUCAAGUUGUCCUUUUUUUAUUUUAGCAAAGUUUGACAGUAUUUUAUUCUUCUCACUUUGAUUAUUAACAACGCGGAUGUCCGAUAAACAAAUAAUUUUAACAAACGUACCACCAGCGGCGAAUUUUUGUUUGGACGGAAAUUCUGACGUCAUCGCUGUAAAGACUAUAUUACAUCACUUUUGUAUUUUUGUGCUCGCUUGCCAAUACGAUCUUUCCUGCUCGUGCUGCUCACUGCUCAGUGUAUCGAAUUCAAAUUUGUGAAAAUUCUUUUAGACACAAGCAACUCUUUAAAAAAAAGGCUCUGAUAGCCAACUACAUAGAAACACGGUCUAAGUUUCAUAAUUUUGUAAUAAACUGUAUAUUGCGUUUACAACAUUUCCCCAUUAUAAAUGGGUCAGGAACAUUAUAUUACAGGAUAUUACCGAAACAGCUGACCAACCUUGAUCGCCUAGGAGGAACGAUGGAAGCAACCUGGAACCUCCUGUCAAGAGGAUUCUCUUAUCAGAGUGGGAAUAGAAGUUGGUCAAAGGACAAAAAGCAAACUGACACCGAUUCGUACGAGUAUUAAUGCCAACAGGAGCAGAGAUGCUGCUUCCUCCUCCUUGGGUCGAUUUUCAACGGUGUAUCGAUAGGUGGUAUAUGAAGCCGGCAUUUUUGAUCCUCAAUCGACACGAGACGAUUUGAAAACGCUCUCUAACGCACUGGCUCGAUGCGCGGGCGGCACUAACUCUGCUCUUCUCCAAGAGGCCUGCUUCUCCCGAACUAACCGCACGAUAUCACGCUACUCCUACGUUAGAGGAGAAGAACGUCUUUAGGGAAGUCAGCCCUCUGCAGUGUAACGCUAAUGUCGAAGGAAAACGCGGAACGUUCAUUCAUAGAGUUCAAGAGGCUUUUUCGUCAUCGUCAAGAUAUACAAGACAAGUUUAUUUGCUGAAAUCAGGAUGCCGAUACUAUUGCAAAUUAGGAUACUUAUAUUUAUGCUGAUUGACUUUACGAAAUAGUAUCUACUUGGUAAAUGCGUAAACUCUUUCUUCGCGUACUUCGUCAAGAUGAUCAUGAGGCGGGUUGAAGUAAUCCGGUGAAUACGCCCUGUAUUCUUCCACAGGUGGUACAGGACUCUUGGGUAAUACUUUUGGCUUGGUCACCUUUGGCCUGAGUCCCAUGACAAGAAAAAUACAGCAACUAUCAACCGCCGCCUUGUUCUCAUCUACGUUUGACUCGACAACCGGAAGUUGUGGGGUGUGAUUUCGCAAUGAAGUUCGUGACGGAGUACGUGACGGAGUACGUGAUGGACUCUCUCCGAUCGGCUCAGACCUUUCCACG